UACAGAGGGGGCAAGCGGUUGUUCGGAAUUACUGGGCGUAAAGGGCGCGUAGGUGGCCUUCUAAGUUGAACGUGAAAUCCCUGGGCUCAACCCAGGAACUGCGUCCAAGACUGGGAGGCUUGAAUCCGGGAGAGGGAUGCGGAAUUCCAGGUGUAGCGGUGAAAUGCGUAGAUAUCUGGAGGAACACCGGUGGCGAAGGCGGCAUCCUGGACCGGUAUUGACACUGAGGCGCGAAAGCCAGGGGAGCAAACGGGG
rnacentral:rRNA from 1 species